UACGUAGGGUGCGAGCGUUACUCGGAAUUACUGGGCGUAAAGCGUGCGCAGGCGGUUUUGUAAGCCAGGUGUGAAAUCCCCGGGCUUAACCUGGGAAUGGCAUUUGGGACUGCAAGGCUGGAGUGCGGCAGAGGAGACUGGAAUUCCCGGUGUAGCAGUGAAAUGCGUAGAUAUCGGGAGGAAUACCGAUGGCGAAGGCAGGUCUCUGGGCUGACACUGACGCUCAUGCACGAAAGCGUGGGGAGCAAACAGG
rnacentral:rRNA from 1 species